rnacentral:rRNA from 1 species
UACGUAGGGUGCGAGCGUUAAUCGGAAUUACUGGGCGUAAAGCGUGCGCAGGCGGCUUUGCAAGACAGAUGUGAAAUACCCGGGCUCAACCUGGGAACUGCAUUUGUGACUGCAAGGCUAGAGUACGGCAGAGGGGGAUGGAAUUCCGCGUGUAGCAGUGAAAUGCGUAGAUAUGCGGAGGAACACCAAUGGCGAAGGCAAUCCCCUGGGCCUGUACUGACGCUCAUGCACGAAAGCGUGGGGAGCAAACAGG